rnacentral:rRNA from 1 species
CCUACGGGCGGCUGCAGUGGGGAAUAUUGCACAAUGGGCGCAAGCCUGAUGCAGCCAUGCCGCGUGUGUGAAGAAGGCCUUCGGGUUGUAAAGCACUUUCAGCGGGGAGGAAGGCGUUAAGGUUAAUAACCUUGGCGAUUGACGUUACCCGCAGAAGAAGCCCCGGCUAACUCCGUGCCAGCAGCCGCGGUAAUACGGAGGGUGCAAACGUUAAUCGGAAUUACUGGGCGUAAAGCGCACGCAGGCGGUCUGUCAAGUCGGAUGUGAAAUCCCCGGGCUCAACCUGGGAACUGCAUUCGAAACUGGCAGGCUAGAGUCUUGUAGAGGGGGGUAGAAUUCCAGGUGUAGCGGUGACAUGCGUAGAGAGCGGGAGGAAUACCGGUGGCGAAGGCGGCCCCCUGGACAAAGACUGACGCUCAGGUGCGAAAGCGUGGGGAGCAAACAGGAUUAGAUACCCCUGUAGUC